rnacentral:rRNA from 1 species
AUGAGUCUAUUGGCCUGGAACUGUCGAGGACUGGGGUUGGACUCGAUAGUUGGUGAGCUUAGAGACCUGAUACGGUCCUACAACCGAGCGGUGGUGUUUUUAUCGGAGACAAAAAAUAAAGUACAGGCAAUGGAGAGACUGAAGUGGAGCUUAGGGUUCAUACAAGGAGUUGUGGUGGAUUGUGUUUGCAAGAGUGGACGGCUCGCUUUGUGGUGGAGAGAUCAUGUGAAUGCGACAGUCAGACUGUGGUGUCAAUACUACAUAGAUACUCAGAUGGAGGUGGAUGGGAAUACCUAUAGGUUCACUGGAAUCUAUGGGGAGCCGUUUGUGGAAAAGAGGAAGAAAAUGUGGGAGGUGUUGAGGUAUUUGAGGACCCAAGAUAAUCUACCUUGGAUAUGUGUUGGAGGCUAUAAUGAGGCAAUUGUGCAGAAGGAGUAG